GCCGGGGUGACAGAGAGGCUAUGUGGCGGACUGCAGAUCCGCAGACGGGAGUUCAAAUCUCCCCCCCGGCU
rnacentral:tRNA from 1 species